AGACAAUGGGUCACUGUUCUUAAGAGUAGGUUUUGCCCCUUUGAAGGCCAUUACACACCCACUGUGCAAAAAAUUCCACAAAUUUGCUCGAAUCAUUUUAAUGGAACCUAAGAAAAGAAAGUUGACAAAACAGAGAUAUGAGAUGGUCCAUACUGGAAUAUCUGCAAAGUGCUAACUGAAGCCACUAUGCCUCAGCCUGUCAAAGAUUAUUAUUAGUCUGUAAAACCACCCAGCAAAGGAUUUAAAUUAAUUAAUACAUAGCAUAAGAUUCCGAUUAACAAGGGGGAGAACAAGUAUUUAUAUUAAUCAUAUGGCAUCAGCAAAAUUUGAAAAGCAUAAUAUCAGUAUGUGUUAAAAUUAUUCUGAUUCUCUUAAUUGUAAUUAAGGUUGAGCAAGAAAAAUUUGAGAAACCGAACUAUUAAGUGCAUUCCUGAUAAGAUUUGUAGCCAAAAAGCAAUGAGUGCAAGUACUGGGAAACUCAAGCACUAAUGAAUUGGCUGAUGGCUCACUACUAUUCUACAAAAUUAUAAAUCAAGUCAAGGGGGAAAAUAAGAAAGAAGGCCUAAUUCAACAUUCAAUGACCGUCUGGUACGUCACCUUGCAGCCAUGAAUUUAUGGUCACUAGUAAUGUAAGGUUUCACUACCGGAGACAAUAGAAACUGAGCCUGAAAAUAAAGAGAAAUAAACGAUGAUAUGAUGGCAUUUUCAUUUAGCCAUUUUUAAUUUUUUUUUUAUAAAAAAUUAUUAGUAAAGGUAAAAUUGCACUUUGAACCCCCUAAAAAUGAUAAAAAUUUAAUUUAAUUUUUUAAAAAUUAUAAAGAUAUAAGAUAUUAAAAUGAUAAAAUUAUAUUUUUAUUAUUAUAAAAAUUAUAAUUUAAUUUUGGCUUCCCCUAACAAAUUUUCUAAUUCCGUAUCUACAUCCAUCUCAUUACAAUAUAUACGUUAUUUGCUUCUUAAUUUAUGGCAUGCAAUCAACAAUACCUCACCAAAAGCCUAAGUUUUCAUUUCUAUUAAUUUCGCGGAACACCAGAGGCAGAUUUCCUUGAGUUGAAACUAUAAACAAGUUAGUUUUCAUCUCAUACGUUACUUUCAAAACUAAAUUGAUGAUAGUGCUUUGCACACAACGUUCCUUCAAAAUCUCUUAAGGGUAUUUUGUUUUAAGUAAUUUAAUAUCUUCAAAGUAAUAUUAAAUUCUAAAAUAAUAUUUUCUGCAUAUAUUUCUCACAUCUUCCAUUUUCAUCAGGUAAAACCUUUAUAUUGUAUCACCAUUGAUAUGAUCAAGAGAGUUACGGUUAUCUUAUAAUAUUUUGAUAUUGAAUAUUAAAUUAUGACCUAUUAAUCGAGUGUUUACCUUAUUUUGAAAAAUAACUUGAGUUCAAAUCAUAGUUACCUAAUAGUUUGGAUCGGUAAUGCAUUAAAGCUUGAGAAAUUUAAAAAGCCCUUACUUCAUCUUUAAUGGCACCAACCUCACUCAUUUGGAUUUCCUUAUUAAUGCAUAAGGCCACUUGACCUUCAAAUAACGCAACUAUAUAUACUCACAUUAAUUUGAAAUUAAUAUAAUCUUGUAUAUUUUUAUAUUUUCAAUAAUUAAUAUUUUAAUUUUAUAAAUUUAAUUAUUUAGGUAUGUUUUUAUUACUUAAUUUUAAAAAAAUUACAAUAUAAACAUUAAUAUUAUCGAUUUGUUAUUGAAAUCACUAACCAUCGUUAUUGUAAUAAUGGAAGAUGAAAAUUUUAUAUUAAAUUGCAUAGUUAAUCCCUAUACUUUCUUCAAAUUUAUAAUAAUUUAAUUGUUUUCCUUUUGUUUUUUUAACCUUUUUCUUUUCUUCUCCCUUCCAUAAUUGUACCCAUUACGUGCCAUGUAAAUAAAAUAAAUAAAUCAAAAGUCAAUCUAAAAAGUAAAUAAGCUCUUUUAUCAUUCAAGCUAUAAGGCAAUAACACAUGAAACUUGAAAAUCCGUAGCAAACUUUUCUUUACUUUAAUAAUUUGUUUUAUUUUCUACGGCACUGACAAAAACAUGAGACCUGCUUGCAAUGUUUCCUUGCUCUGGGUUUUAAUUUUUGGCUUCAUUCAAACUUGCAAUGUCAAUUUGAUUGCCACCAAAAUUUAGAAUGUAAGAAAACAAGUUUAGCUUCAUUUUCAAUUAAUCACAUCAAAAAUAGUUUUAUAUAAUGAGAACCGGAUAUGGGAGAAAUUAAACUAACUGAGUGAACGUAGUGACUUCAACAAAAUCUUCACCCUGUUGGGUUUUAAUAUCGAAAAUGAGAGCGAGCUUGAUUUGGGUCUUGCUUGUUGGCUUAAUCAUCAUCUUACUUUCUUGUUUCAAUCGAUGACAUGGUCUUUCAAAGUCUCCAGACUUUGCUCUUAAUGAAUAUUUUUGUUGCUCAUCUCUCAAGCAAUCUCCUUUUUGUUUGAUGUUUCCCAUCUUAGCUUUCACCUGUUUAAGUUGGACCCUCUUGUAAUAAUGGCUAAUGUUAUGAAACGGAAAAGAGAGAACAAAAAAAUAGAGAAAUAAAAGGAAAAUUAAAGAAAAUAAAAAGAAUUGAAUUGCCCCCAAAAAAUAUAAGGACUAGCUGUGGAAUUUUACCUUUUUUUUUGUUUAAAAUGAUGGUAUAACAUGGCACAUUACCUUGUUUAGGAUAAUUAAUGGUUUGGUGAUAAAAAACGUAACAAAUUAAUAACACUAGUGAUUAUAUCAUAACUUUCUAAAGUUUGAUGAUGAAAAUGUAAUUAAAAUCAUAUAUAAGUGAUUAAAUUUAUAAUUUGCCCUAAAUAUAUAUAUAUAAUACCAUAAUAUUGUAUUCAUUAAUGGUUUAUUUUUUUUUAUAUUAAACAAAUAGUUAGACAUUUUUAAUUUAGAGUGUAUUUGAUAAAUCAUUGAAAAUUUUUAUUUCACUGAAAAUGAAAAUUUUCAACAUUUAAUAUUUUAAUUAAAUGUGUUUGAUAAUCAUUUUAAUAUUUUAUUUAAUAUAAAUUUUUUAAACAAAAAAGUGUUGAAUAAAAUAAAAAGGUAGGUAACUAUUUAUGACUUAAUGUAAAAAAUAUUAAGUUGAUUUUUUAUUAAAAAAUUGUAACAAAAUUAUUUUUAAAAAAAUGAGAUAUGUAAAUUAUCAUAUUUAUCUUUCAUCCCAAACUAUCCAAAUUAAUAUAAAAUAUAAUUUUAAAAAUUAAUAUUUAUUUUUAUCAAAUAAAAUAAUUAUAUUAAAUACUUAUAUUUACUAAUUUAUGGUCCGAAUAAACUUCCCUUCUUUAAUUUACCUCUAAUUUUAACACCCAAAUUAGUAAAUAGAGACAAUGAUUAUCCAAAACUUGUGCAAAAUUCUUCUAAUUUUAGACGAUUUUAGUUAAAUUUGGUGGUAAAUAGAAAGUGAUAUUUUCAUAUUGUAAAAUAUCUGUUCAAGGUCCCUCUUAUAGUUGCUAUUAAUUCCCACCUCUAACUGUCUCAAUUCGUACCAACAUCCGUUGGCUUCUCUUAAUUUUAUCUCAAUAAUCUAAUCGACUAUGAAUUAUUACCUUGGUUAAUGCAGUGAAAAUGACAGUUUCCGUUGAGAAACCCAAUGGUAUUUCAUCUGAUUUUGAUUUUCAUUCAAUGAUGAUUAAUUGUUCUAAUGCUUUUAUCUGGUUUUCAGUCACUCAAGCCAAGAGUGCCGAACAGGCGCAGCCUGACGCAAAUAAAUUGGUAUCGAAUGACCAAUUUACAGUGCCUCAAAACAAUGCUUUUGGAAACACAUUUAGGUAAAUUAUUUCUCAAAACACAUUUUUGAAUGUUGCCUUCAUAUGAUACUGAAAGUUUGGUGAAUUUUAUGGCAGGGAUUAUGAAGUAGGUGCAAGGACUGACAAAGUAGAGCAACACUACAAAGCUAGCCAUAUUAACCAAACAUAUGAUUUCGGAAGGAAAUCAUUGUGGUAGUUUAUUACUUUUUACGAUUUGAUUGAUGUUUAAUACAUGGUCAUGCGAAUAAUGUAGGUGAAGAAGAUCAGGGAAGAAUACAAGAAGCUUAAUAAGGCAGAAAUGGGAAUUUGGGAAUGCUGUGAGCUCCUCAAUGAGGUUGUUGAUGACAGUGAUCCCGACUUAGAUGAACCACAAAUUCAGCAUUUGUUGCAGAGUGCUGAAGCAAUAGAAAAGACUAUCCUAAUGAAGACUGGUUGCAUUUGACAGCACUCAUUCAUGGUAAAAACCAAAAAAAAAAAAAAAAAAGAACAACCCUUAACAGUUUUCUUUUUUUGAGUAAUUAGCUUAUAAUGUUCCAAUGCAUUUUAGAUCUUGGAAAGAUCCUUGUUCUUCCAAAAUUUGGUGAGCUACCUCAAUGGGCUGUUGUUGGUAAGUGUAGUAUUUGUUCUGAGUUUACUUAAGUUCUUUUUAUACUUUUAGUUGACAAAUUUAAUUUCAAUAUAACAGGUGACACUUUCCCUGUUGGAUGUGCUUUUGAUGAGUUCAAUGUCCAUUACAAGGUUUCUGAAUCUUUGCUUUGAUGUAUCUUUUUAUGGUGUUAUUAUGAUGGAACCUAAGAUUAAUUUGUACUUCUCACAAACUCUGUGGUGCAGUAUUUUAAGGAGAACCCUGAUUUCAAAAACCCCAAAUACAACACCAAUAAUGGGGUUUACUCUGAAGGAUGUGGACUGGACAAUCUGCUUAUGUCAUGGGGACAUGAUGAUUACAUGUACAUGGUAUACAAUUUGACUCCUUCAGUGGAUCCUUUGAUGUAAUUAGGCUAAUACCAUAAUAUUGUAAUGUCUGUCAUAACUUUGAUUAGGUGGCUAAAGAAAAUGGGACCACAUUGCCACAGGCAGGAUUGUUCAUCAUCAGAUACCAUUCCUUCUACCCAUUGCACAAGCAUGGAGCUUAUGCCCAGUUCAUCAAUGAGGAGGAUAAGAAGAACAUGAAAUGGCUUCAUGUUUUCAACAAAUAUGACUUGUACAGCAAGAGCAAAGCUCACGUUGAUGUUGAAAAGGUCAAGCCAUAUUAUGAAUCCCUCAUUGCCAAGUAUUUCCCAGCAAAGCUGAAAUGGUGAAAGUUCCCAAAUGCACGAACAAUGGCGUGCUGCGGCUGCAAUGCUAAUAGAGUAAUAGUCCUGAUUCUUUGUAGAUAUAGAGAGAAGUCGACUAUAAUGUGUAUAUAUAUGAAGCAAUUAAUACAACAACACAUUCUUUUGAUUCAAACCCGAAAUGCAAUCCAUUUGGCAGCACAAACCUCACCUCUCAGAUGACCCAAAGCUGUAUAUUUAACUGGAUCUAACUCCAGCCCAAUAUAAGCUGAAUCUUGGGAACCUUUUCUAUUAAAUUCUUAAUUGUACCAACUUGAUGGAAUUUAAUGGACUUGACUCGGUUUGUACGGUUCUAGUCAGAGCGCACAACACAAGCAAAAGGGAAAUUCCCUCGCCACAACUUGCGCUUCACACCCUCAGUUUUUAUUGGGGUUUUUAAGGGACUGGACUGUUCUAAACUGGUCAGUAAAAUAGACUCGAAAUUUUAAGGCUUUCUUUAAGUUAGAAAGUCAAAAACGAUGGGUGAAGGAGAAUCACGAGUUUCAUCAAUGAAAUGAACAGGCUAGUUGACUUUUUUUUUUAAAAUUAUUGCCCCACUUCGUUACGUACAAAUUUCAGUUCCCUCUAUAAAUGUGGCUGUAAAAAGUUGAACACUAGUGAGAGGAUACGAAGUUUCCAUGCCUCAACCCUAAAAAAAAAAAAAAAAGGCAUUGUCCACAACUUGUUAUCUGGUGCUUCAUAACACUAUUUAAGAGGGAGUUUGUGGAACUUUCUUGAAUACCAGCUUUUGACUUUAGAUAAAAACUAUAAUUUUUUUUAAGUCAGAAUUGAGAUUAACUUCAUUUGGGUUGCCCAUGCAGAAUGAUGUCACAGUGAAUUGAUUUCAAAUCAUUCCUAGCCACACAUGUCAACAAUAGAUUACGUUUAGAAAAGAAUGUUAAGCAUAAAAUAAUCCAGGCAUAAUCCUUGGGAUUGAACCCACUUCAUUUACUUCCAGUGGGACCCUGCUUUAUGGCAUGGGGAUGGCUCUUGCGACCUCCUUUUGGUCAGAUAUUGGCAGUAACCUAAACCCUAUCAAAAAUAAAACCCCAACUGCCUGGAAGGCAAAAGCCAUCCAUAUCCAAAGAAUCAACCACAAAUGACAUUCCAAAGGAGUUUUGCAUUUACAGGUGAGGUCCCUCCAAGUUGGGUUCCAUUACUGAUGAUUGAAUAAAAAUGUGAGCCCAAUGCCAGACACCGUGGGGUUGCAUCACAAAUUUCUUUAACUUGUUUGGCAUUUCGUGAAGGGAUCUAACACCAGGAUUGUCUAGCUAGCAGCCGUUCUUAUCCACUUUACUCCAAAACACUAUAUAAAAAGAAAAAUAAAAACUAUGCUUGGUCCAUCUUUUACACUGAUGGACACCCAUAAUCUCAUUCACAAAUAUCUUCCAUCAAUCAUUGUUUUCUAAUGUGCAUUCAACACUAACUUUGAUCGAAUUCGAGUAAUAUGAAAUCUCUAAGUAAAAUUAAAUGAAACAUUUUCACUUUUGCAUCAUAUAAAUUUCGUACGUAAAUGGAAAGUUUUGAGUGACAAGCACCUAACCAUUGAGGACAAGAGGAGAGCUAAUAGUAACAGAAGCUUUCUGAAGUGCAAUAUUGCCCCGACUUGUGCUGGGGGUUGGAUCCACCUUUUUGUCUCUGAUUUUCUUUUUCCAAUAAAAAAGUUUGGCAACUUAUUAAUUUAUUAUUUUUGAGGGAUGGAGAUGGGCAUUUGAUUUCAUAUCAAAAGCAGCAAAUGAAACAACUCAAAAAAGGUGGACUGACAUCCCCGUUGCCCACUUUGUUAUGAUCUUUAUUUCUCUUUUUCCUUAAUGUGAUAUCCUACAAGUUCACCACACACAUCCACUCAAAUGCACACAUAAUAUAUAAUUACUUUUUUACUAAAAUACAGACAUACCAUAUAUAAAUAUUAUUUACUAUAAUUUUAAAAUUAAAAUUUAAAGGUUGAAACCCUGACCUUAACCAUCCUUAAUUGCAAUUUUCUUUAAAAAGUUUUAAAAUUUUAAAUUAAAUCUUUUUUUUUUUGAAAUUCUUCGUAAGUCUUUAAAAUUUUUAAAAAUUUCGAUUCAGCCAAAAACUUAACAACAGAUUCCUACUAGUUAUUUGAACUGUUUAAAGAGGCAAGGCAGAAUUAUUGAAGAUCUGAUUUGUUUCAAGGAAUCACAGUGUUAUUAAGACAUGAAUUAUGAGGUUGGAUUCUAUGUAGAGAAGUCCCACUCCCACUGGAAACAGAACACAUGUUUUGCAAUGCAUGUGAUUUUAAUCAUGGGUUUAUUAUUUCACAUGCUCUCAACCUACAGAAUUCCUCAUUGAAGUGGAGCAAACCGCAAAUGAAGCAGCCAUUCAACUGCUCACUAUGCCCAAUUGCCCCUCCAAAUUGCACAUUGCAUCCUCUUUCCGUUAUUAUCUUGCCGGUGCUGCACCGUUGCAAAACUUUGGAAGCAGAGAGUUUACCAAAUCAAAUGCCUUUUUUUUUUAAUUUACAUUUCUUGAAUAUUCCACGUUAUUCGCUUUGGAAUGGAUGAUGUUUUAUGUUUAUAAAAGAAUGGUGUUGCUAGGCUGGCAAGUAGUGAAUUCACACGUGGAACAUGAUGUUUUGAUACGUGGACAGUUCACCAACACUUGCUUAGCGCUUCUACCCCCAACGUGGCCACAAAUAUAUUCUUUAAUCAUCCAACGUAAGCACGUUGAAAGAACAACUAUUUUAACCUUAUAAGACGACACAUAAAAAACUCACGUGUUGCUUCAAAUUAAUUUGAUUUUGUUGUAUCCUAUUUUAACCCAAAUGCCAAAUUUCUUUUAUUUGACUCUUAUCUUCAGUCUUGAUUUUCCUUAUUUAUCCUUAACCCCAUCUUACUUCUAUUUGAUAAAAACCAAGUAAAACAAAGGCCAAUGCUAAGUAACAUUUCUUUUUUUAAUUUAACUUUGAUUGUUAAAUCUAUAAAAUUAUCGUUUACUACACUUUUACCUUUUUUUUCUUUCAAAAAGAUCCAAAACAAAGGGCGUUCUUUUUUUCUUUUUUUUUAUAUUUUACAAUCAUUUCUCUUAUUUAAUUACGAUACUUUUGCGCCCAAAAAAAAAAUGUAAUUCAGAAACUUUUGGUUCCUUCGCAACAAUUCCUAAAAAAGAAAAGAAAAAAGUAUGUGAAAGGAAAUGUUGUGAGAAACGUGGGUUAAUUGAUUUGGGGUUUUAGUUAACCGGUGGCAUUAUUUAUUAAAAAGUGUUUUUAGAUCAAUUUUUAAUUUAAAAUAAAUAUUUUUCUCUCAAAAAAUAAUUUAUUAUUUUUAUCUUAAAAAUAUUUUUUAUCAAAAAAAUAUUUCUUAAAAAUAACAUCAUGGAAAGUGAAAAAUCAGUGAAGGGUGCAUGUACCAGAGGCCAGGUGCAUCGCAUGCCAAAGUCACGUGUUAACGGGGUUUUUAGUUUUUAUGUUUUAACCACGCAAAUUUUAUGACACAUUUAAACCCUUUAUUUAAAAAAUUAAAUAAAUUUGAAUCAAAUGAAAACGUAAAAUUAUAUAUGUGUUAAUAUAAUAAUGCGAGAAACAAAAGUUAAUCGUAUAAAACAUUUCUAAACUAUAUAUCUCAUUUUAAAUUUAACUGUUUAAAUAUUUUAUUUAAAUAAUUCAAAAUAAAAUUUUAAAAAAUAAAUAAAUAUUAUAAAAUCUCUUAGUUUGUACGAAAGUUUUAUCUACCACUCUUUUGGUUUUUAGUUUUAUUUUAUUUUUAUUUUUUACUUUUAAAAGGUAGAUAACAAUAUCUUAUUUAUUUUAAAUUUUAUUAUGUGUUAUUUAAUGAUUAAAUUAAUAAUUUAAAUAAAAUUAAAAACACAUUUAAAAUAGACUAAAAAAAACAUAUCUCACGUUUUAUUACAAUGAUUUAAUACCUCCAGAGGCCAUUAUGAAAACAAGUCGUACUUAAGCAAUUGCAAGAUCCAAGGGCCAAAAUGUAAUCACAGUUUUAAGGGUCCCAUGAGUGAAAAAGCUGUAUUGGGGCAAAAGGGGCGGCUGACCUAAACCGCUGAACAUUUGACGCGUGCGAAACACAAAAUUUCAAUCAUACCCCCAAAGACACACGCACACCAUAGAAUUGGAGGGCCCUUCAAGUUUGGAAGUUGAUCAGCGCCGUUGAUUACCCAACCAACCAAAAUCGAACAACCUUCUAAAAACGGAAAGCAAUCAAUCAAAUCAUAUACAACAAAGCAACUAAAACCUUACUAUGAUUUCAAUUCCAUAACACCACCCCGAAUAUUAAUAUAUGUAACAUAAACAUACCUCAGCACCACAGUAAGUGCCUUUCUUUUUGCACUACCCUUUCCCCGUAUUUACACAUCUGAUUUCCCCAUCAUUAUUUGCUAAACCAACCAACCUAUUGUAUAAGAUCCCAAAACUCUAAACAUUAAAAUUAACGCUCUCAACCUAAUUUUCAACUUGUAAAACACUAAAAGCAAAGCUCAUUUGGGGCCCUUAUUUUUGCCAUCCUUCUCUGCUGCUACGGCUGAUGUUUAUAUACACGAUACUAGAGAGAGGUGGCGGCUCUAAACAUUAGGGGGCAUUGUGGCACCAUGAUUGUGUGUAUCUGUGGGGCAAAUACUAUUAGGAUAAAUAUAUUUCAACUCCAGGACAAAAAGGAUGAGCUCUAUGGGUAUGGUUAUGUCUUAAUAUUGUAUGAUUAGUCCUCCCAUUGGGGCUCUAUGGGGAAUCCCCUUUCUUCGUUUUGCAGUUCGAUAAUUAACCGAAGUUGGAGGGGGCGUUGAAGGACGAAAGCUCUGCAAUUUGUUACUGAGCUUUCCAUGGCCACUGCUGCUGUAUGAAUCUUCAGAGUCUGAUGCCAUGGCGGCCACAUGUCUCUUCUUCUUCUGGAAAUCCUUUGAUGUACCCACAAUCUGAAUGUUAAAAAAGUAGAACAAAUUAGAAUUAACAUUUCAUAUAGCUCAAUGGGAAUGGAGUUCGAGAUUAUAAUGUAUUUUAGAAAAGUCAACAUGGUUUCACCAAACUAAAUUAAAACAGAUUUUGACCAUUAUGGUUUUGCUUGGAAAACUACAACCCUUACUUUAUCAUACAGUUUCUCAGCAACCAAACAAUACCGUUGACCAAAAGAGGAAAACUUAAUUAAAAAGGAAACAGCGGAUUUACCUUGCAACCAAGAGAGCAGAAGCGGAAGGAGUCGACCAGGCUACGGUCACAGACCUCACAGGUGUUGGUGACACCUUUUCCAGGCCUUGGCUGAGGCCUCUCAUUGAUGAACACAACCUUAGCGCUGUUAAUAACAUAGGUUUGAACACCAGAUAUAUCCAGGUAUUUCUGUAUCUCAGAUACCCUUAUCACAUCAUGGUAUGAGGACCUCCUAAUCUGUCAUACAACCAAAAACAGAAAGCAGAGCAAAUUAGAUUAGCAAAUCGAAAUAACUGUACAACUUUUGUGGCGAAUUACAAGUAACAGUCAAAUCCAAUGAGAAUUUUGUGAGUUUAAGACUUUAAGUCCCAUCAGCCAGAUACUGCAAAAUAUGAUCAGAUUACACCCAUUUUCACGAGAAAAGCAUUUGGCUUUCUUGUUAGAAACUGAGGAUCGGAAAACCACCAUUGUUUUGAAGGACAAGUAGUGGUUUUUUUAUUAUGCAGAAAAAGGGCUUUUAAAAAACAGAUAAGAGACCUUGAAAAUUGAGUCAUUGCCUGCUUGGAUGGUGGGAAAAUGUGAGGUGGCUAACUAGAGAAAGAAAAGUACGAACAUCUGGACUAGACUGGGAUGAAAGUUCAAAUCUUUUUUAGUACAUCACGAAAAACAGAGCAAGAACAAGUGAAACCUGGAGUAGAAAUUCAAAGAAAUGUGCUUAAGUCAAAAUCGGAAACAAACUCGAUUAAGAAAGGACAGAGAACAGAAUCCCAGAAUUGGAAAUAUGAAUGCCGAAAAGGGGAUUGAAUAACGGGAUUCCUCAUAUCCCCAUAAGAGGAAAUGAGACAAAUUUCAAAAGAAAAAACCGAUAAAAAUAGAAUUUUUUUUUUAAAGAAGAAGAGAAGGAAAUGCGAUUUUAAAGGGAAAUAAUAUUGAACCUGAAUAUAACGAUGAUCCUUGUGAUGAGCAAGGCAGAGAGAGCAGAGAGCGCCAUUCAUACAAUCUAAGCAGUACAUAUUGCAUUCACUCUUGUGAGAAUCAGCAUGAAGCUUGCAUUGAACGAAGAAAUGUUCUCCUAAUAAAGGUUUCAACCAUGGCGGCCACCUAUUGUCUUCUUCAUCAGGUCCACCAGCACCCUAUCAAAACACCAAAAAUAACAUUAGAACCCAUUUCAUUAAAACACAUUUCUAAUCAAUACCCAAAGUAAAGAAACCAAGAAAAAAAAAAGCUGAAUUAAAAAAGUCCAAAAGUGAAAGAAACAGAAGAAUGAGGAGCAAAAAAAAAGUAGUUUUUUUAGAGGACAGAAGAUACCAUGAUUCUUCUGUUCUUAGGCUUAAUUUCACGGACAGUGGAUUCUUGAUUUUCUAUCGCCAGCUUGAAGUCUUGAACUCGAAAGGGUAAUGCUCUGUUUUAUGAGGCUGAGUGAGAUUAGAGAGAGAGGGAGAGAGAGAAAGAAGUGAAGGCGGCGAGCAGGGACAGAAGGGGGAGAGAGAGAGAUGAAAAUAAAAAUGAGAAAUAAAGAAAAGAAGGGAUAGUUCUUAUUAUGAAUUAUAGACAGAGCCGAAGCUAAACUCUCGAAGGUCGAUGGGAGAUGCGUUGGGUGCAAGGAACCCUUCUUUCCUUUUUAUUUCCCUUUCAUUUUCACAUUCACAUUUCUCUCUUUCUCUCUCUUUGGUCUUAUCGUUAUUUAUUUUUCAUAAAUUUAUUCUUUCUUUUUAUUUCUUUAAAGUAUGUGAUUAUUUUAAUGUGUCAUUUUUAUUGUGAGGUAAUUAAUUUGAAUAAUGCUGUGAUGAACAAAUUUGGUAUAAUUUUUUUAUAGUAAUUUAAUAUGUAAUAGGUUGAAUUUUGCUUAUUUUUAUUUUCGGUGUUAGAAAGUUGCAUAGGAUUUUCAAACAUGGAUUUCGGGUCUUUACUACAUUUCAAAAAUAUUAUAUAAAUUAAUAGAAUUAAACUCUUAAUUCCAACUUUUUGCUUAUGUACAAAAAUGAUUAUUUAAGUUGCUUUGUUUAUAUACUUUUUAUUUUAAAUUAAUUAUUUGUGACGUUGGGUUUGUCUAAUUUUCUUUUAUUGAUUAUGUUAAGGCCAUUUUUAAAAACAAAAUUAAAGGGAAGAGUUACAUAAAAUAAAUAGCAAAACGAAGACAAAUUAAUUUGGGGAAAAGCCUCAAUGCAUGAAGUUUAGGUAAUAUAGAAUAGGGCCCUAAUAAUAUGAUGGAGUUUGGUUUUGGUCCGCCAAACCCUUGGUUACAAAACGUAUAUACAUUUUCUAGAACUUGAGAAUUAUUGUUGCAUAAUAUUAUCACCAAAAAGUUACACUUCACUCAUGUUGUGCUGGGGAACAAAACCUAAUUUCAUUUUAUAAAUGAAAUGAUGCUUCAACUCAUGCAAAUAAUGGGUUUUGGUGCAUUAUAUUAGACAUAUUUAUGAGUCGGGUUACAUGUUUAAGACUAAAAGUCUAAAGAUUUGUUCGAAAUUUGAAAAAAUUUGGACAAAAAUAUUAAACUCAAAAAAUAAGUCAACUCUCUCGCUCGGCAUCACACAAGGAAUGACUUUUGUUAGUGCCGGUUAUAUUAUCCAAAUACAAUUCCAAUUGCAACUUAACUGCAUCUCGAAGGGAACGUAACUUCCCAUAUUUGAUCAACAUUUUUUAACUAAGAUACCUUGGACUACCAAAGCACAUCUUUGAAGAUUUUUAGCAAUACUUUAUUAAAGUUAAAAUAUGGUGAAAACCGAAUGAUAGAGAGAAGGUUGAGGAGGCAAGGUAACAAGGAGUAAGUGCUUAAAGGUUGCUUAAAGACUCCAAAAGAUCCUCUUCGAUAUUUACAAGAGAGGUUCUCUUGCCUGCUAGUCUAACGUGGCAGGUCAUUAUAUAGGAAGUUACCAUCACAACAUACUAGAGGGUGCGCAUAGUGAGGCCCAUGGCAAUACGAGAUUGUGAUGCUUAGGUGGGGCCCAAUGACCUAUAAGGACAUGUUCACACCUAAAAAGCGAGUGCCUGUUAAGGAUGCUUAUCAAGCAGGUGGCUAUCCACAAAAGCAAGAAGUCCAUGUUUUUUAGAAGGAAGCAGGUGGCAUAGGUCUCUUGUCGAGAAAUGGGUCGAAUGGAGACAAAAGAAUCGAGAGGAUUAAUUAUCAAGACUUCAUGGUGGAAGAGAAUGGAUAAUUGGAAUGUGAUCGAGAGUGCUGAUUAUGGGCAUUUCUUAUAUAGCUUAUUAUGUUGACACGUGUCUAAAUCCAAAAGAGGUAUAAUAAAAACUUUAUCUAGUUAAAUUUAAAGAGACUAUUCAUGUGAAGAACUUACUCUAUCAACACAAGAACAAAACCUUUAAUUAUUAGGGUCCAAAUCGACUACUCAAAAAAAUAACACUUAGAAUAUUUUCUCGUAGAGAACCAAUUCCACCUCAUAAUAAAAUAUAUAAAAAAAAAUCAACAUGUUUGAGUUGAACCAACUUUUUAUUGUGUUUUAUGAUUUUCAAAACCUACGUAUGCAAGAAGAAGGUGUUCAAUGUGAUAUAUAUAAAUACUUUAAAAUAAUUGUUAAUCAUGUAAGGUUAUAUAGUACUUGGAUAAAUACCUAAUUUUUUUUUUAAAGAAAAUGGUUGCGGGGGUCCACAACAGAACACCCAUGCUUAUAGAUAAUCGAAAAGAGACAAUGACCAGACAAUUUCAACUUUGGUCUUAAAUGCUACAAAGAAAUUCAUAUAUAAAAUGUAAAAUGGGGAAAUUUGAUUUGAAAAGAUGAUGCCACAAGUGAAAGAUCAAGCCAUUAUUUCAUAUAGUAAAAUAACACAAACGAGAUUAAGAUGGCACAUAUGCUUUAAGUUAUCCAACAACAAAUAUUCUUAAAAAAAAUUUACCCCACAAAUCUAUUUAAUACACGAGUAAAACGAUAAAAUAUUAUAUUAAUUUUUUUUGUUAACAUUAAUUUCAAAUUUGAUAUCGAAAUAUUCCUUAUCCAUUCCCCUUAUUAAAGAAAAUAUGACUACAGUAUAGUUAUAAAAGAAGAAAAAGAAAAAGAUUUUAGGCUUGAAAAGGUGGUGGUGCUAUAAAGAUGAAGUCACUAAGUAAUAGCAUGCAAUAAGGAGACAGUAAAAGAUGAUUAUUCAGAAUCACCUAACUAAGCCUAGAAGAAGAAGAUAUUUGAGAAUCAAUGAGGAUGAUUAUUACAUAUCCCUAAUUCAUAUUCUGGUAUACACACAAAUCUUGUAUGGGAUUUUUCUGGGGAAAAGAGAUUAUUCUUUUUUUCUAAAGUCCCCCAUAUUUUUCUUUUAUAAAAUAUUUUUUUACUUUGUUUUGUUUGCAUUGCAGACUGUUGCAGUGAAAUUUCUUUGAACACACCCAUAUAUAUACUAUGAUGCUUUUAUUGUGAACCUGAUGUGUCCAUAUCAUGACAUGAAAUAUAAUUGAAGUAAUUAAGUUUCUUUGCAUUUCUUUAGGUUCAAGCUAGAAAGAAGCUUCUUUUUUCUUACUGGUGAAAAACUAGAGAAGAAAAUUGUUUUUGUCUGUGUAGAUAAGAAGUUUAACUCCUAAGCAAGUUCCUGUUUGAAUUACAUGGCAGAAACAAAAAUCAACCUUUCUUUCCAUAUUAAACACAUAUAUAUAUAUAUAUAUGUCAUUAUUUCAGACAUCACAUAAUUAUACAAAAAAAUAUAUAUUCUAUGAAAGAAAAAUAAAUAUUUUUGUCGUACAUCCUCCACCUUGCUUUUACUAAGAGACAUCUCCGUUAGACCUCGUUAAGAGGCUAUUUUGUUUAAACACCAAAGGUAUAUCCUUCAAUCAUUUUAACAACAUAAUUAUUAUUUAUCGUUAACAUAUUUUGUAUAUCUUACAACGCAAGUAAAUCACACAACCAACUUAACAAAGAACGGUUGAAUGAUAAGCUCACCAAUCAAAAGAGGACAAGUGGCAUGAAAAAGUCAACCUCAUAUACAUCUCGUAUCUCUUAUCUAGGUUGCACUUCUAAUUCCUCUCUAACUCGCUACAAUUCUUCUACUAACUCCUCUUCCCUUCAUGACCCUUUACUCUUCGAGUGAAUCAUUGUUUUCACAUUCUUAUAGAUUUACCACUUAACUAUAUUUCUUUUUCGAUAAAUAAAUUUUUUAGACAAAAUUUAAUUGUACAUAAUUUAUUUUAUUUUUGAGUAGUAUUAAUAUCAUGAAAUUAAGUUUAUAAAAAAAUGGAAAGGAGUAUAAUCCCUAUACGAAUUAGAAUUAUUGGGGAUUGAACCUUCUUGCAAGCUUCAUCUUGGCUCCAAAAUCCCUGGACAAGUAAUUGCAUCUCCUAAGGAAACAACAAACUUAACACCAUAAGAAAAAAAAUGCUUAAUAAUUAAUUAAGAGGCUGAUCUACUCUUGAUUGUUGAAUCUUGAAUUGCAACUUGUACAUACCAAACUCAAUUCUUUAGCAUUCGCACCCACACAAUAAAAUGCCAUAAAUAUUUUAAGUUUUUCUUUUAAUAAAUUUGUAACAGUUAUACAUCUUCUAGUUUCCAAUUUUACCCAAAAAUGAUGACAAAGUAAACAUCAAUUAUUGCUAUAUUAUCUAAACAAAACAACUAGCUCUAAACACUUAUCCUCUUUUUAAGUAGUACAUCUUUGUGUUCCAUGAAAUAAGAAGGCAAUAGGUGAAUCAAACAAAAUUAAGUAGCUUCUUCUCUUUUAUCCAUCAAACUUAAACAUUUAAAUUGUACUAAAAUUUUAGUUUAUUAAGUAGAUAUUUGGAUGAGCAGUGCGAUGUAGUGCGUUUAGCUUAAUUUUUAUCUCAAGUUAUUAUAUCACUACAGUAUUUAAUUUCACCAUCAUUAUUAAUUUUACAUUAACUACAAAUAAAUACUCUAUAUAUAUAUAUGAAAAAUAAAACGAAUAGAAGAUGUUUUAUGGUAGAAUUAAUUGGGUUGAUUUGAUAUAAAAGUCAAUGGGCACACAAGGUUUGAACCCACCAAAAGAUUGGUGCUGUUUGAUGCUACGUCGUUUUUCACACCGUGUGGUUUGGGUGUGGGACGGCUUUCUAUUAUUGCAACUGCGACUGCCCCCUUUCCGUCUCAUUUCUCAAGUCUUCGUAGGUUUAGCGUUCUGGCCAAUGACUUCGUGCCAUGUCAUCAAGUCAAGAUUUUGACUUUGACUAUUCUUCCUCCUUUCUUUUUUUGCUGCGUACCUUUGCCGUCGUUUUAUUUUGUUUGAGUUUUCUCAAAUUUAAGGGCAUUAAUAUCUUUUAUUUUAUUUUAUUUUUUCUUUUGGCUCUAUUUGUUUGGAUAUCUGAUUUGCAAUUUGUUGUUCUCUCCUAAGACAUUCAAUGUAUAUUAUUCUUACAAUAUAAUAUUUCAUAAAUUUUUAAAUUUUAAUUUUUGUUUUAUUAUAAAUUACAACUUCUUUUAUCGUUAAAUAAAAAUUUAAAAAAAUACAUAGCAUCAUUUAUAUAAAUGACUAUACUUAUUUAAGAGUUGAACUAAUCGUUCAAGUUUAAAGUCUCUUUCAAUAUUUGAAAGGAUUUAAAAAAUAAACUUGAGCAAGACUCAUUUAAAAUAUGAGUCAAGUUUGUACUUCAACGUUCAAGGUCUUAGCCUAACCCGGCUUAAUCCGUUUUUAAUGUUAUAAUAUUGUACUUUAUUUUUAUAUAUAUUAUGUAAUUUAUAGGACAUAAAUGUCAAAUAUAUAAUAUUAUAAUAUAAAAUUAAUAUUAGUGGAUUAAAUAAGAAGAUUUCUUAAUUGAAAUUAUUGUUGAAUUUCUAGAAUGUUGACUUGGUAAAUGAUAAGAAUUUUAUAAUAAAAUUUGGUCAGUGAACAAAAAUUCUAAAAUUAAUAUGAAGGUAAUUUUGUACGAACCAUAAGUCUUAAUAAAAACAAAGCUCCUUUAUAUAAAUUUUAUAAUGUAAGGAAAAAAAAUAAAGGAUCUUUUAGGGUUGGAGGGGUGGGGCAAGUUGCAAAGAAGGUGGCAUGAUUUUCAUUGCCACGAGGCAGCCCAACCAAGUUGUUUCCUUCUCUUUGUCAUUUGCCAUCUUUCAUUAUCACAACUACGUCAACUUCACUGUGUUUAUACCAAAAUUACAUUAAAUUCCAUGCCCUUUGAUAGCCCAAGCUUGGAAGUUUCUUAGCGGUUUCCCACUAUAUACAUACACACCCACAUAUAUAUGUAUAUGUGAACUGAAUAUAUGUGAAAGAGAGUGGAGCUUACUUGUGAUGAUCCAAGAAAAUACUGAAAGCCUGAAAAAAAGUGAUUGCUUUGCCUUUUACUUAAUUAUUGUACACUAAAGUUGAUUCACUUUGAAUUUUGAUUAAUAUGAAAUUCAUCCACUCACUCACCCACCCACUCAACAUUUAUAUAUGAUCCCUGAGACUAAAUAAUAAUGUAGGGUAAUGCAUGCUUCUCCAAUUUCUCUCCCUUUUGGGUUGUCUUUAUUCUUGAUCCAGUCUCUUUACAAGUAAUUUUAGAGAUGUGUUUUUUUUUUUAUACUGAUAUCAUACAUUUAUGAUCUUACUUCCGAAAUACAGCUAUAUAAUUGGACUGUGUCUAUUAAUGCAGGCAAUUUCAGUUUCUUUUCGUAAAAGUUGCACUUAGCUUAGCUGAUAAAGAAUCCAAAUGCUAUUUCUCUUGCAAGUAUUUGGAUCUUGUCCUCAACAAGGAGUGGGAGAGUCAAUAAUUAUGGAAAUGGAUAGAUCAUGAUAAGAGAAAGAAAGAGACAAAAAAAAAAAGAGUAAGAGUUGUUUAUUUAUAUAAUCACUAGUAUAAAGAAAUGAAGCUAUUGGAAAGAAUAUGUGCCUAAAAGCAAACCUCAUGGGGUUUUUUUUUUUUCUUUUCAGAAAAAGGAGAAAUAAACAACAAAAGAAAUUGAAAUUGAAAUUAGAGGUGAAAGCUCAUUGGACGGGAAGGAGAGGUAGAAGAACCUUACCAAACCCAUUAAAAAGAGGAUUAUGGGAAAAAAAGUAUUGGUCUGGUCUUCCAAGUUCCAACGAGUACGAAGGAAACUAUUCCUUUAAAAAAAAAAUUAGAGCUUUUUGGUGUACUUUUUAACUAGUAUGUUGUUUUAUUUAUUUACUAAUGAAAAAGCAUAAGCAUUAUGUACAGCCAAUGGAAUGAUGGUCGAUCAAUUGCUAUGGCCUAUAUCCUUUGUUCCCAUAUCUUUUUUGGUGACUAGGGUUACCCUUACCCAUCCUUUUUUGUUUACUUUAGAUGGGUUUGCCGAUAUUUAUUCUCAUAGGAAUCUGAUAAUGACAGCCAAAACCAUAUAGGAAAACCAUCCAUUUGAUCUAGCUUUAUAUGCAUUACUGAACUUUUAAAAGGUUUGAUAGCUUUAGAUCAUUACUUUGAAAAAGAAGCUAGUACUUGGGGAGGGGCAGUGCAGUAUCUGAAGAAACACGGUGAGAUAAUCAAGAGAUUUGUUUUGGAAACGUAUGAAGUGGGUAGUGACUUGGUCAUUAAGCAAUUAUUUGAAUGAGAAAAGGAAAGAAAACUGCAAAAUUUAUUGACGUAAGGAAUCUCAAGCUAUUAACAUAAGGAAAAGAACAUGAAUACACAGGUAAUGAAAUGCCAUUUUGGCAAGCUUUGAUUUUUGAUUUUCAUUGUUUCAGGUCCCCAGUACACACACACUAUCCGCUCUGUGCUGUGGAGGUUUUUAACCAUCUUAUUUCUCACUGUCAACCAAUUGUAUGAUAAACCCACUUUUGCUCUUCAUUCACUACAAAAACUCGUAUAUAUUCAGACCCAAAACACUACAUUACAGCAUUCUAUCCUGCAGGUCCGACAUAAAAGUGGAUGCAAAUGAGCUAAGUUUCUUUCCAGUCUCCCCUGCAAUGUUCUUAAGGUUCGACAUAUCGUGUUGUGCCCUGCAAGUAAAAUUUUAUAAAUUAUAAAUGAAUAAAUAAUUCGACUUCAUAAAAUAAAGCAAAACAAAGGGAAAAGAACAUUAGUCAGCAGACCUGGAAAGAGAAUCGGUUGAUGAGGUCACUAGCGGUGAGGUCAUGAUCUGCGUCUUUACCAAAUAGAUCAGCACUGGAGAUGGCUGUUGAUCCCUGCAAAAAAGAACAAGAUGGCUGGUCAUAAUACAAACCACAUUUCAAAGUAAAUUUGUACUUGUUACAGCUCUCACAGCCACUGAACUGAUAAUUGGAUUACCAACUACUUCCAGUCAUGCCUAUAUAUUUUAGUUGAAGAUGAUUAAACAAAGCAUAUUACAAGAAUUAGUGUUUUCUUUUGCUUCCUUACCAUAAAUAAGUGAUGCUACUACGGUUAUAUACUAAAAUCGAAAACAAAAAAUUAUGAUCACGGUUCUUCUAAGAAUCUACUUUGUUUACAGCCGACUGUCAAACCAUAAAACUAAGGGAAAGGAUAAAAUGCAAUGGUACUAAAUUUUGUGAUAGAGUAAUAGUGCCUUUUGAGCACUUAAAAAAGAUAUCUUUCGAGAAAGGAAUAGCCGCUGCACAUACUGAGAAUUUCUGCAAAGUGACUUGAGCGUCAUUGUCUGCUGCUCUUGUCUGAUCACCAAAAAAUUGGCCUGAUGAAAUAGAUUUCGCAUUCAAGAACUUUCUUCUAGCUUCAUCUGUUUCCUGAACCUGGGAUUAAAAAGAAGCAAUACGAAAAACAGCAAAAAAGCAGAAACAGUUUAGAAAAGAAAAAAUAACUAAGAUUGACCACUUCCAGGGGCAAUUAUAAAAGUAAAACAUAAUCACACAAAACUUCCUGCCCAUCAAAUUCUCCAACCUUGUAUUUCAUGGACAUGUGCAAUAUAGGAGCAUUUUCCUUUCAAAUUCAUGUUUUUUAAUUUGAUUUUCAAAGAAAAUUUUAACUUCACUUUAGCUAAAACCAUAACCAGAAUAAUAUACUGAGUUCAAUCCCUUGAUGUCAAACAUCCUCAUUAUGAAAGUGGCAAACGUCUCUAGCAGUACAAGUUUGUGAUAUGAAGAAUCAAACAGAAGAGCCAUAUGUUCUAAAACCAAAAGGAGGCCUUCCAUUAAACCAUCAGCCACUUGUACAAAAUAUUAAGCUUUUGGUCAUCCAGGAGAUAUAUUACUUACUUGCACUUUUGGGGAAUUUGAGAUUGAAUUCUUCUGAAACCCCCUGUCCAUUCCAAAAUCAGCAAAGAAGCUUGAUGAUUUUGGAGGAGCAAUGUGGCUAACCACUUGUGGGCCACCAGAAUUAAAUUCAGAAGAUUGACCAUUUUCUACAUACUCAAAACGCGAUGGAAAAGAUGAGGCAACGGGCACAGUGUUUUUAGUUGAGGAAGUAACAGGGGCAACUGGUUCUUCGGGCUUCUGGUCAUAGAGGAUUUCACUUGGCUGAAAUUAAAAUGGACUAGGUUAUAAAGAGAAAAGGACCUUAAAGUAACUCCAAAAUAAGUAACUGUUCUAAUCAAGAUAUCCCUAUGAUCAUUCUGCUCUAACUGAAAUACUGAAUAGCUCACAAUAGUCUAUGCGAAUACCUUUGAAGUAAGCUUCCGGGCACCAAGCCCCCCAGUUUUCCCAGUCUUCUUUGCACCAAAAGGCUUCUUGACAGUGCUUGUAACAACCGUAUGAGAAACCUUUUGUGUAGCAGAAACUUCCGGUUUUCCUAACCCUCUUAAAGAACUUUCUUUAGGAGCUUCAUCAAUCUUGCUAUCAGAAAACCCAUUGGAUGCUUUCAAUGACUGAGAAGCAACAGGGGACAAUGGCAUACCCACCUCUUCUUCCAUGCUUUUAGUGACUUCUUUUGCUAGUAGUUGCCUGUAUAAUUCGGCAGCUCUUGAAGUAUAUUUGGCCUCAAUUUUGCCACCAUCAGUCCAUCCAUGCUGCUUAAAGAAAACUUGUGCACGGUUGUUUCCUCCAUAGAUCAUCAUUUUCAACUGUUCAGGAGACCAUGAAUCUAAAUUUGUAGACCUGCAAAAAUAUAAGUACUUCUAAGAACACAGAGGCUCAUAGCUGGGACAUUGAAUGAUGGUAUUAACACCAUAAGAUUCUCAAAGUCACAAGUCUUCGCUAAUGAACAUGUUUCACAGUAGACAAAAUAUCUGAAAGCUCUUGCUGUUUUGGCUAGUAAGUAGGACACUCUAGGAAAGGUGCUUUUUCAGCCAAUAAGGAGGAAAUUAUUGAGAAGGUUAAGUGAUUAUGUACCUCCAAUUUUGGCUAAACAUGAGCAUCAACAACCUUAAUACCCAGAAAAUAGCUCAAUAGGAAGUAAUUUUCAUGCUACAUUGUUUACCCACAAAAACUUGCAGAGAUGUUAAGUAUGAUAGCAUAUUAAUCUCUACGAAAAGGGUUUCAACUAUCAAACCAUUAAAAGAAAUUCAAUCCUCUCUGAGUAGUUUCUGGAAAUAUAUCAAAGAACAAUUACUAACAUAGUAGCAGCUUAUCUCAUAUGCAUGAUAAAUCAGACAAUGAAUUUAUCAAAUUCAUUACAAUAACACAAAAGAUAUUUCAUAUUACGAUUCAGGUCCAAUGCAAGCCACCUAUAGAAAUAUGAACGGAAAUUUCACAGAGACAAAAAAUACAAAAAGGAACCAAAUUUUCUCACAAGCAUUCAUUUCGAAAUUCAAUUUCCUGGAGAACCCCACCAGGCACCAAUAGAACAUAAUCUGCUUAAUCAAACCUUCCCCUAUAUUGAAUUUAUAAAUGUCAACACCAGAUAGUUCAGUUUCCUUACGAAAAGAUUAAUCAGAAGGGAAAAUAAAGCCUUUUUCUACCCUCGUAUAAUUUAAGAAAAUAUAUACAACUUCUUCACGCAUGAUUGGAAUUUUGGAUCACAAAAUUAAAACACAUCAAUUAAUUCAAAAAAUAUAUAUAAAAAAACAGAAGUCGUAUUUAUAUAUUCAUAUAUAUGCUAGUACCUGACAAAGCUGACAUGGACACCGAGACUACGAUGAACGGCAGAACAAUCGAUGCAAAGAAAGAUCCCAUACGUCACCGACGCCCACGUCGGGUUCUUUGCAUUACAAUCGAAACACAUCUACAAAAUUUAAAAAACAAAAAGAAAAACCAGAGAUCGAGUAACGGAAUUUUCUAGAGCGGGAUCAGAUCUUUAAAAAAAAAAGAGAAAGAAAGAAAGAAAAACAAAAACAAACCUUGUUGUCGGAUUUUGUUUUCAGCUUUCUGAAAACAGCGUUCUUGUCACUCAAGUUAUCAGAGGACGCCAUUGGUGUGUUUAUUUUCAAUUAUUAUUUAGAAUUUCAGAAAGAAAUAUUGGGGAGUUUUGGCUUGAAGAAGAGAAGAUUUGUAGGGAAGAGGAGGAUAUGUAACACCUCUCCUCGCCUCUCUUCUCUUCUGCACAGGCAGGCUUACGAAUUUGGCGACAAAAAUGUAUUAGCAAACAAUAUUUAUUUAUUUACAGAAUGACGAAUGUAUCCCUUUUGGUACUUACAGAAUGAAGAGAUGGUGGCGGGAAAAGAGGUGGAGGAGCUUCCUCUUAUUUCCUGCGUGGAGGUGGCCAAGUGGCGAUUUUUUUACCAACCCCCCUAAUUCGAUGUUUAUACCUCAACUAACUAACUACAUAUUUCGUCCACCUCAUCUUUUUUUUUUGUUAUUCUUAGGACUUUCCUGAACCGUUUCAUUUUUUAAGCUAUUACUCAACCACCUUUUUUUUUUUUCUUAUUAAGAUUUUUAAGCAUAUUUAUGUAAAAUAUUUAUAUAAAAUAAUGGAUAUAUGGCUUAUGAGAAUCAUGUAUAUGUAUCUAUAUAUUUUUCUAAUUUUAAAAAAUACAUAUAUAUAAUUUGUUAAAAUAAUAUUUGUUAUCUUUAAAAUAAUCAAGGCUUACUCAUUAGCCCAUAUUUAAAACUUAGUUGUAACCCCAUAUUUUGGAUUGGGGUUCAUUCAAACAUUAAAGCUCGUAUUAGAAAGUUUUUUUUACUCACUCAAUUAGAAUCUGAUUAUUCAAUUUUUCUUAGUUAUUCAUUGUUAAAUAGCUAAUAGAAAGAUGAUGUGGUAACUUUUAAAAUUAGCAUGACAAUAAGUUUAGCCCUCAACAUUUACACAAUGUAUCUUUAAUUUUAAUUUUUAAAAUUUUAGCACUUAAUGUUUACACAUUACUUAAUUUUAUCUUUUUUUUUACAUGAAAAUAUAUUUCAGUAAGCUAUGUGUAAUUUAGAAAUAAAAAUGAAAAUAUUUUUUUAAAAAUUUGUUUAUUAUUAAACUAGACAAUCCUCAAUGAUAAUUAAUUCCUUUUUUGACAAAUAAGUUAGUCUUUCUCAAUGAUUAUUAAUUCCUUUUUUUAUUAUCUUGAGCUAACCACCAUUGAUGAAGCAAAUCAAAGUUUAAACCUUUUUAAGAUAUUAAACUUACAUUUAGGUUAAAUUAGUGAAGCAAGUUUUAUUUUAUUUUAUUUUCAAGCAAUUGAAUUGGCUAUUGUUGAGGGAGAUUGACCUCUUAAGAGAAGUUUUUAAAGUGUCGUUUGUUAGGUAGUCAAUACAACCCUCAACAAUUGUAGGUAUUGUCUCGAGACCCAGGUUUUGUCUCUCAACUUCGCAGAAAGCCCGACAUUUCACGGAGUGGGAGUACCCCGAUUGGUAGAGAGAGUAUGUACCUGAAGGAUGUCGAAACUAUUUUUUUAUUUUAGAAAAAAUGGGGAUCGACUUUUAAAACAAAAUGUGGAGUCGCCACCAAUCCUUUUGUUUAUGUGUGAUUGGAUCACCUAAUAAAAUAUUUUAUUCCAUUUAAAUCAAUUUUGGCCCACGUAAAUUUGAGAAAACGGGUUCUGGAACCGGUUACGUAUGAGGAAGGAUUAGCACCCUCACUAUGCUCAAAAUUGGUACCAAAUUGAUUAAAUAUUGUCCUUAUGUCUAAGAUUUAAAAACAUUUUGAAAUAUGAUUCCUUUUAAAACAUUUGAAUGGCUCAAGUUGGUCGUCAAAAUUCUCUUGUUUUAAAAGAAUAUAGCACAACAUCCAGCACGAUAGGACAUGAUCCUUUAUACCUUCGAAACCACGAUUAAUUUUUUACUUUCAAAAGCUCAUACGUCGAAAAUUACAAAAGGAUGCUCAAUUAUUUAGUCCAAAAAAAAAUCGAAACCCAGCACAGUAGGGCAUGAUUCCUCGAAUUUCCAAACAUUGAACAUUAUCUUGUUUUGGAGUUUAAAAAACACGAGUGAAAAUCUAAAGGAAUAUUUGAUUAUUUUGAACAAACGGGAAAUUGAAACCCGGCACCAUAGGGCACGAUUUCCGAAUUUCCAAACAUCAAACAUUGCCUUCGUUUUAAGGAAUUUUCAAAUAAAUAAUUGUAAAACUAGGUCAAAACGCAUUAGGUUGCGUUGAAAUAAAAUGGAAUAAUUAACUUUAAAACAAAAAGUUGAAAAUUACAAAGUAACACUUGUGAACAAAAGGCGAAAUUAUAAACACGAGACAAUACACACGAAUAAUAUAUCCUUCUAAAUGAAUGAAAAUAUUAUAGACAUGAAAAUAAAAGAGCAAAUUUACAGACAUAAAAUAACAAUAAGCUCACAUCCAACAUUAAUAAUCAAGAUAGUGAAAACUAGGAAAUACAGCUAAUUAAAGAAACAUAUCAAAAUAAAGCUAUAGCAAGCUUUCAAACAUAUAUAGAUGAAAUUAAGAAAGUAACAUCAAGGACUAAUUGACAAGAUGAAAUAAUAACAUAUGAAACAAUAUGAAAAACCAAAUAAAAAUAAAAAUCCCACAUGGUGUAUACAACAAUAUAAAAACUAGGAGUCAAUACCAAAUAAUUAAAAAAUCGUAUGCAAAAUUUACAAAUAAAUAACACAUGUUAGAAUUUAAAAUAAUUUGUAUGGAUAAAAAUACUAUAUAAAUAAUUAUUAAAAUAAAUGUUAAAAAAUUGAAUCAAAUAAUGUGCAAAAUAUUAUAAAAGAUAGUACAUUUAUUUGUGGUUGACACUAUAUAUACAAAUAUGAAAGUAAUUUAAAUAAUACAUAAAAUAUGUAAGAUUUUUUAAAUAACAAAAAUAUAUAAUAAAAUAUGUGCUUAGGGAAUGAAAUACAUACAUAUUAAAUUUAAAAAAAAACAUAUAUAUAUAUAUGAAUAAGUUUACGAUAAAUUAUAUGUAUAAAAUAACAUAGAAUUAAUAAUGUAUGUAGAAUAAAAUUAACUUUAUCAUGAACUACAUAUAUAAGAACAUCUAUAUGAAAUAUUACACAAAAUGUAAAAUAAUAUGAUAUAGAAACUUUAUAAUAGUGGUUUUAAAAAAACAAAAUAAUAUCAUCAAAGUAGCUCAAAAUGUAAAAAUAAGUAAACAAGAAUUAAAAAAUGAAUGUUAAGUGGAUCUUUAAAAACAAUAAUGAAUUAUACAAAAUAAAAAAACUCAAUUAAAAUAAAAUUAAAAUGAAAGGGAUAAUUUAUAAAUAAAAUAAACUUUUGAAAUUAAAAUAGGGACCAACGCGCAAUGCGUGCGAAUGCAUAGGGACCAAAGUUGGAAAUAUUCUAGAUCCCAAAACAAUGCACUCAGGCGAGGACCAAAUUGGAUCUACGCACGGAUUACAGAGAUAAAUUAAAAAAUAAGAAGAAAAUAAAUAAAGCUCAAUUGAACAACGACGCAGAUGGGAAGGAUUUAUGGCACAAAUAUCCCCUUUAAACAAAAAUGAGCAGAUCCUCACGGGUAACCGGAUCAAGUCGGGUCGGGUAUAGUCAAUACGACACUGUUUUGGAGCCACUGAAACAGGCUCAAAACGGCACCGUUUUUGGUCCUUUAAAAAGACUAAAACUAGGCCACAUUCGGCCAACCAACCCUAGCCCCUUUCUUCUCAACCAACAAACCCUAAAUCCCUUCUCUCAAACACCGAUCCACCACCACGAACGGCGACCAGAGUUUUUGGGCUUCGAAGAGAUGGAUUUUAGCCUUGUGAUCCCCUUUCGGCUUUGAUUUCAACGAAGCGAAAAGGAACCGAUGGCCGAUUCGCAAGGUAAGAUCUCGCUUUUCCCUCUUUCUUUUGUUUUUAAAUGCAAUGAUGAAAAAAAAAUCGAAUGAAGUAGAUAAGAAAAUUCAACAGAAAAUUUAAGAAACUAAAAAAUAGAAAUCACCUUUUUCAGAAUUGCUUUUGAAAUCCUUUUUUGAUAUUUAGUAUGCAUAAUCUUUUCAAGUACAAACGAUGGCUUUUUAUAGCUGGAAAAAUAAGAAUUAAAAUUAAAAGAAAUCUAUUUUCUUUUCUUUUUUGCUAUUUUUCCAUUGUAUUCUGUUAUUGCUGCUUCUCGUGUAUUCUGUUGCAGGAAUAAUCGUACGGAGGAAGUCGCCCUGGUGACGUGGAGGCCGUGCGUGGGAAACCACUCGUGGGAGUGGCUGGCUGCGGCGCUAGCUGGUUCCAGAAACCCUAGAGGUUUCUGGUGCUUUCAACCUAUUGGGCUUGUUUGGGCCAUUUGUAAAUUGGGUUAGGGAUGUAGGUUUAUUAAUGUUUGCAUUUGGGCUGAUAUGAUUUUGGUAUUUGAAUUUAUUGAAAGUUGUAAAUGGACUAUUUGGGCUAUUUUAAUCUUUGGACUUUAUUUGCCUUUUUAUUUUAAUCUAUUUGGUUUAUUUAUUUGGCUCAUUUAUUUUAUUGUAAAUAACUUAAAUGGUCCCGGACAAAUUGAGCUAAUUACAAAUGACAUGUAGAUAAUUAAUCGGCAAAGUCACGCGCAACGUGGAUCGAACCACCAACCCAUUAAUUAUCCCAUUCGCAUGCGACUUCAUCAAUUAAUUAUCUACGUGUCCUUU
rnacentral:lncRNA from 1 species